rnacentral:lncRNA from 1 species
CCGGACAAGAAAGAUUUACUUACUAAAUGCAUGUUAAAGAUUUUGCUCACUCUCAACGAACAAAUGAGCAACAAGCAAACAUCAUCUUGAAUCAUAUGCACCAGCAUGUAUGGCAACCAUGCCUUAUGAUCAAUUUUAAAUUAAUAAAAAAAUAUUAUUUUUCCUAUAUUUUUAUGAGCACAAAAAUACAAAAUUCAACCAAUCUACAUCUGUUUUGAAAGGAGCAAAUUUUAGGGUGUUACAUCAUGCCUCAAAUGUACACAUGUGUUCAAUCAAAAGUUCUCCUCUGGAUUAGAAAAACUAAUCUGACUUUCAAACUCACCCAUAUUAUCUUCAACCAUGGGGCUUCUUAACUUUCACUUGGGUCUUGAGUAAAUUGAAAGACAGAACAAUCCAGUUAAGUACUAUGUCUCAAAAUCUUCAGUCAAAUAGAAUUCCAGAGUUUUUAUAAGUUUUCGAAAUAUAACUCAGAGCUUAAUUGUAUGACAAACUCAAGUCUCUUUUAUAUGUGGUAUUUAUGGUUCUUACUGAGGCAUUAAUGAUGUUAUGCCUUCCUAUAGCUAAGAAUUAUAGUGGAGUUCAAAGGAGUGGCAAGAAAGAGUAUACUUGCAAUUCACAUAUUGUAAAGUCAAAUAAUGGAUCCAAAGAGAGUCAAGUCAUACAAUCAAACCAAGAUGUGCAUGUGUAUGCAAUAUAGUGGAUAGAUGUAUAUAUGGUGGCUAAUCCUAAUUCUACUUUUGCUCUUUAGAAAUAAAUCUCUCUCUACUAACUUUAAAACUUUCAUACGAAAACAUGGGCAAUCUUUAUUCUUUCUUAUUUUUUCUCUCUCUCUUUCUUUUUUCAGGGAGGCAGUCAUCUAUGUAACCAUUGUUUUAAUAUCUUGGACACUUAUCCAUUUUUUAACUCCCUUUUUCUUUUCUUUUUUUUUUCAACACUCUUUCUUUUGAAUAGCCAUAUGCAUCCUUUGAAUCAAAAAUGAUUGGAGAGAUAAUGAUAAGACUUAGAGCAAUUAAACACGGGUUUACCCUAUGGGGUUUAUUUUUGGUGUUCACUCCUAGUGUAAGAGAAAAACAUUUUUAAGGUGGAUCUGGAUGAAAGUGGAUAAUAGUUGCGCUUACUCCCAGUGUAUUAAUAAUGCAUAUAUAGGUGGAGUGUGCAUGUGAUCUUGAUUUUAAAAAUAUGGCAAGACUCUCAUAAGGUAUACAACAAAGGUUGACUAAACUCAAUGAAAAACAAGUAGCAUACAUGAGCAAGGGUUUCCUAAUCUAAAUAUAUCAUAUAUGGCUUUGUUACGAAUUUAAAUUUUGUCAUACAAGAGCUCAUCAUGUAAAAUUUUAGAUUUUCAAAAGAUAAAUCUCUAGAACUUUAGUAUCGCUAGGAAUAAGAAAAAUAGCAGCUCAGACUUUCUCAUAUCAUAUCAAUCAAUCACCUAGACUUAGCUUAAGUAUAUGCCUCCAUAAGUUUCAGGUUCAGAGUAAAUUCUUAUAUCAAAGCAGUCAUAUCCAAAACUUAGGAGAAUUUAAGGUUGAAACCUAGGCACUUGAAACGAAUUACAACAGAGCAACUAUUCAUCAUCUCCAAAUUCAAAAUUAUAUUGUUCUCUAGUUUUUAUUCGACUCCUAAUAAACUAGACAAAACAUUUUAAGAAUACUCUAUGAUCACACCUUAAUAUCGUAUCUAUCAUUAUUUGAUUUUAAUUGUUAUUCAUAUUUUUAUUUGAACUAAUAGACUCAUCAAAGACUCUACAGACAUGGACCUUCAUGUGCCCAUAUAUUUUUGGUAUUUUUAGGUUUUCUUAUGAUACUAUGGUGAACUUUCAUGUGCUCAUAUAGUUUUGGUAUUUUAUAACUAUAAGAUAGACUCAAUAAUCGCUUAGGUAUACAUACCUGAUAACUAGGGGAUGCUCUCCCCCAAGCUGGUAAUUAUCAUGGUUGAGCACUGAAGCUGAGUGGUCCUCACAAUCACACUUAUAAGAGCAAGUGUUGCCAGGGAUCCUAAUCUCAUUCUCCAAGAAGUUACUUCUUUCACACAGGGGUUAGUUGUUAAUUAGAAAGGUGUAUUUCGAGUGGUCAAGAUGAAAAUACCUAGGUCUGCUGGCUCUUGGAGUCAUCCUGCAGAAAACUCUUACAAAACACAAAAACUCAUGGAACAAUAUUAGGAUAAAAAGUUAGUGGUUUAGCUGUUUUAGAGGAUUAGGUGUUGUGGAGGUUUCAAAAUAUUUAUGAUAGCAGAAUUGUAGCAGGAUGCUCAAUUAAUAUUUUUAGAGUUUUUAUAUUUACAUGCAGAAAGGAAAUAUGUAUGUUAUUGUAGGGUAUUUUAAACGCAAACAGAAAAAUCCGCAAGCGCACGGAUACCGAUGUAGCUUUCACCCGGGAGUAUUCCAGAGUAUCGAUUUUCCACAGGGAACGUGAGUGUACUAAUUAAGAUUCAAGAUCGCCCAAGGAUAACUAUAUAAUUAUUUUUGGUGGGCAGAGAGGAAGUUUCCUGAGAGUUCUCUAGUUGAUCUAAGAAUCAAGAAUUACUUCACAGAUUAUUUAUUUUGGGAUGUCAGAACACUAACCACAGAAAGAGAUGAGAAGGGGGCUAGGAAGCUCUGACUACGGUCCUACAAACACCGAUCUGAACGAGGUGGAAUACGUCGACCGUGAGGGCUGUCACUACCCUAGGGC